rnacentral:rRNA from 1 species
GGUUAAGCGACUAAGCGUACACGGUGGAUGCCCUGGCAGUCAGAGGCGAUGAAGGACGUGCUAAUCUGCGAUAAGCGUCGGUGAGGUGAUAUGAACCGUUAUAACCGGCGAUUUCCGAAUGGGGAAACCCAGUGUGUUUCGACACACUAUCAUUAACUGAAUCCAUAGGUUAAUGAGGCGAACCGGGGGAACUGAAACAUCUAAGUACCCCGAGGAAAAGAAAUCAACCGAGAUUCCCCCAGUAGCGGCGAGCGAACGGGGAGGAGCCCAGAGCCUGAAUCAGUGUGUGUGUUAGUGGAAGCGUCUGGAAAGGCGCGCGAUACAGGGUGACAGCCCCGUACACAAAAAUGCACAUACUGUGAGCUCGAUGAGUAGGGCGGGACACGUGGUAUCCUGUCUGAAUAUGGGGGGACCAUCCUCCAAGGCUAAAUACUCCUGACUGACCGAUAGUGAACCAGUACCGUGAGGGAAAGGCGAAAAGAACCCCGGCGAGGGGAGUGAAAAAGAACCUGAAACCGUGUACGUACAAGCAGUGGGAGCCUCUUAAUGGGGUGACUGCGUACCUUUUGUAUAAUGGGUCAGCGACUUAUAUUCUGUAGCAAGGUUAACCGAAUAGGGGAGCCGAAGGGAAACCGAGUCUUAACUGGGCGUUAAGUUGCAGGGUAUAGACCCGAAACCCGGUGAUCUAGCCAUGGGCAGGUUGAAGGUUGGGUAACACUAACUGGAGGACCGAACCGACUAAUGUUGAAAAAUUAGCGGAUGACUUGUGGCUGGGGGUGAAAGGCCAAUCAAACCGGGAGAUAGCUGGUUCUCCCCGAAAGCUAUUUAGGUAGCGCCUCGUGAAUUCAUCUCCGGGGGUAGAGCACUGUUUCGGCAAGGGGGUCAUCCCGACUUACCAACCCGAUGCAAACUGCGAAUACCGGAGAAUGUUAUCACGGGAGACACACGGCGGGUGCUAACGUCCGUCGUGAAGAGGGAAACAACCCAGACCGCCAGCUAAGGUCCCAAAGUCAUGGUUAAGUGGGAAACGAUGUGGGAAGGCCCAGACAGCCAGGAUGUUGGCUUAGAAGCAGCCAUCAUUUAAAGAAAGCGUAAUAGCUCACUGGUCGAGUCGGCCUGCGCGGAAGAUGUAACGGGGCUAAACCAUGCACCGAAGCUGCGGCAGCGACACUAUGUGUUGUUGGGUAGGGGAGCGUUCUGUAAGCCUGUGAAGGUGGCCUGUGAGGGUUGCUGGAGGUAUCAGAAGUGCGAAUGCUGACAUAAGUAACG